GGGGAUGACUGGCUUCGACAGGGAGGGCUGGUCAGCGAUUGCAGGCCGAGGUGCCUCACCCUCGUUAAUCCGGGGCAAACACUUAAGUGCCAAAAACACUUAUGCACCGGCUUAUGCCCUAGCCGCCUAAUCGCGGUAUAGACAAAGCCACUGAUCGCUAUACGCGAUCACGUCCGUCCUCUCGCUUCGCCCGAGAGCAGGGGCACGGGCGACGACUAAUUCGGGAUGCGGUCAGCGUGACGCCGAUGGCGCUGGCUUAAGAAAUAUCGGCUGGUGGGCGAUGGACUCUGUCGGCCGAGGCCAAGCCCGCGAGAAACCCAACAACCGACUAUGCCUGUAGCAUAUCUCUGGUCGAACUUUUUGGACGCGGGUUCGAUUCCCGCCAUCUCCACCA
rnacentral:tmRNA from 1 species